GGUUAAGCGACUAAGCGUACACGGUGGAUGCCCUGGCAGUCAGAGGCGAUGAAGGGCGUGCUAAUCUGCGAUAAGCGCCGGUAAGGUGAUAUGAACCGUUAUAACCGGCGAUACCCGAAUGGGGAAACCCAGUGUGAUUCGUCACACUAUCAUUAACUGAAUCCAUAGGUUAAUGAGGCGAACCGGGGGAACUGAAACAUCUAAGUACCCCGAGGAAAAGAAAUCAACCGAGAUUCCCCCAGUAGCGGCGAGCGAACGGGGAGGAGCCCAGAGCCUGAAUCAGCAUGUGUGUUAGUGGAAGCGUCUGGAAAGGCGCGCGAUACAGGGUGACAGCCCCGUACACAAAAGCGCAUGUGCUGUGAGCUCGAUGAGUAGGGCGGGACACGUGGUAUCCUGUCUGAAUAUGGGGGGACCAUCCUCCAAGGCUAAAUACUCCUGACUGACCGAUAGUGAACCAGUACCGUGAGGGAAAGGCGAAAAGAACCCCGGCGAGGGGAGUGAAAAAGAACCUGAAACCGUGUACGUACAAGCAGUGGGAGCACAGGUUUACCUGUGUGACUGCGUACCUUUUGUAUAAUGGGUCAGCGACUUAUAUUCUGUAGCAAGGUUAACCGUAUAGGGGAGCCGUAGGGAAACCGAGUCUUAACCGGGCGUUAAGUUGCAGGGUAUAGACCCGAAACCCGGUGAUCUAGCCAUGGGCAGGUUGAAGGUUGGGUAACACUAACUGGAGGACCGAACCGACUAAUGUUGAAAAAUUAGCGGAUGACCUGUGGCUGGGGGUGAAAGGCCAAUCAAACCGGGAGAUAGCUGGUUCUCCCCGAAAGCUAUUUAGGUAGCGCCUCGUGAAUUCAUCUCCGGGGGUAGAGCACUGUUUCGGCUAGGGGGCCAUCCCGGCUUACCAACCCGAUGCAAACUGCGAAUACCGGAGAAUGUUAUCACGGGAGACACACGGCGGGUGCUAACGUCCGUCGUGAAGAGGGAAACAACCCAGACCGCCAGCUAAGGUCCCAAAGUCAUGGUUAAGUGGGAAACGAUGUGGGAAGGCCCAGACAGCCAGGAUGUUGGCUUAGAAGCAGCCAUCAUUUAAAGAAAGCGUAAUAGCUCACUGGUCGAGUCGGCCUGCGCGGAAGAUGUAACGGGGCUAAACCAUGCACCGAAGCUGCGGCAGCGACGUUUAUGCGUUGUUGGGUAGGGGAGCGUUCUGUAAGCCUGCGAAGGUGGCCUGUGAGGGUUGCUGGAGGUAUCAGAAGUGCGAAUGCUGACAUAAGUAACGAUAAAGCGGGUGAAAAGCCCGCUCGCCGGAAGACCAAGGGUUCCUGUCCAACGUUAAUCGGGGCAGGGUGAGUCGACCCCUAAGGCGAGGCCGAAAGGCGUAGUCGAUGGGAAACGGGUUAAUAUUCCCGUACUUGGUGUUACUGCGAAGGGGGGACGGAGAAGGCUAUGUUGGCCGGGCGACGGUUGUCCCGGUUUAAGCGUGUAGGCUGGUUUUCCAGGCAAAUCCGGAAAAUCAAGGCUGAGGCGUGACGACGAGGCACUACGGUGCUGAAGCAACAAAUGCCCUGCUUCCAGGAAAAGCCUCUAAGCAUCAGGUAACAUCAAAUCGUACCCCAAACCGACACAGGUGGUCAGGUAGAGAAUACCAAGGCGCUUGAGAGAACUCGGGUGAAGGAACUAGGCAAAAUGGUGCCGUAACUUCGGGAGAAGGCACGCUGACACGUAGGUGAAGUGAUUUACUCAUGGAGCUGAAGUCAGUCGAAGAUACCAGCUGGCUGCAACUGUUUAUUAAAAACACAGCACUGUGCAAACACGAAAGUGGACGUAUACGGUGUGACGCCUGCCCGGUGCCGGAAGGUUAAUUGAUGGGGUCAGCGCAAGCGAAGCUCCUGAUCGAAGCCCCGGUAAACGGCGGCCGUAACUAUAACGGUCCUAAGGUAGCGAAAUUCCUUGUCGGGUAAGUUCCGACCUGCACGAAUGGCGUAAUGAUGGCCAGGCUGUCUCCACCCGAGACUCAGUGAAAUUGAACUCGCUGUGAAGAUGCAGUGUACCCGCGGCAAGACGGAAAGACCCCGUGAACCUUUACUAUAGCUUGACACUGAACAUUGAGCCUUGAUGUGUAGGAUAGGUGGGAGGCUUUGAAGUGUGGACGCCAGUCUGCAUGGAGCCGACCUUGAAAUACCACCCUUUAAUGUUUGAUGUUCUAACGUGGACCCGU
rnacentral:rRNA from 1 species